ACGUCGAGCCCGACGCACAAAGCUCCGCCGCUCGCAAGUUUUGUUCGUUCGGCUCGCGUCA
rnacentral:pre_miRNA from 1 species